rnacentral:sRNA from 1 species
AACUAAACCCGACAGGAAUGGAAAUACUUUUUGAUGCGUUCUACGCGAAAAGAUUGCUUCGUCGUUCCUCCUUGCAAUGACGAUAAGUAGAGUAGGUAACCGGCCAAAAAGAUUGCAAUGAAUGGCGGGGCUGAUG